UACGAAGGGUGCAAACGUUGCUCGGAAUUAUUGGGCGUAAAGCGCACGUAGGCGGUCCGGUAAGUCGGAUGUGAAAUCCCUCGGCUCAACCGAGGAAGGGCAUCCGAAACUGCCGGGCUUGAGUACGGAAGAGGGUCUCGGAAUUCCCGGUGUAGAGGUGAAAUUCGUAGAUAUCGGGAGGAACACCAGUGGCGAAGGCGGAGACCUGGGCCGAUACUGACGCUGAGGUGCGAAAGCGUGGGGAGCAAACAGG
rnacentral:rRNA from 1 species